rnacentral:lncRNA from 1 species
AUAAUGUUAUCGAACUUUUAUUAUAUUUGUUUUGUUAAAAUACUACGUAUGGUUAUAAAAACAUAGUAAGUAUAAAUAUAUGUAUAUUUCUCAGAAAUCCUUUAAAAAACAGGUAACUUUUCAUGCAUUAUUAUUUUUAAACAUUUUAAUUAUAUGCCAAAUAAAUACAUUUUUAACCAACCUUAGCUUCAAUAACAUAUACACUAAAAAAUUUGUAUAUAAAACAUUUUGCCAUCUGACUUCAAAUUAGCAGGUCUGAACUGAGGAUAAUAUUAAAAUUGACAUUCCAGUUAAUCCAGGAAACAGAGGAGGCCUUAGGUAUUGCAUCAGGAGUUAGGAGAGUCAGAGUUAUAACAAAGAAGAUCGUGUGGCUCCUUUGAAGAAAAAGUGAGAAUAAGCAGCAAGAUUAAAGCCAUAAAAAACUAGAAUAAUGAUUGACUCAAUUUUGAUGAACUGAAAAGGCUAUGGAUAACAAGAGUUCCAGAACUUCCUUUUCUAUGAAGUCCUGUGCCUGCUCAUUGAAAAACAAUGAAUCAGUCUAGACUUGCAAGACGAAAUAAUUCCCUCAAAGCUGGACAUUUAUAUAUUAUUUAUGUAGCAUAUUUCAAUAUUGAUGGUAUAGCCUCAUAUACAGUUGAUUGUAAAACCAUUCUUUCUGUUAGAGUAGGUAGGCAGACAUGAGCAGGGCAGGAGAAGCCCACCCACACAUACCAGGAAUGUCAAGAGAGCAUCAGGUGAUGGUCAGGCAGCUGUUAAACUGCCUCUCUAACAUAAUAAUUGAUUCCAGCUGGUACCGGUGAAAGGCAGUCUCCCAACAGAUAGAAAACACCUGAAGCUGGUGAUCAGCAGCUUUAGAAAACACGGGAAGCUGGUGAUCAGCAGCUUCCAGAUAAGAUCUCAGCACUCUAAGAGACAAGAUGGUGGAAUUUAACUAGUAUAUGACCUUUCUUUAGGAACGCUCAACUGGUAUCCAGAUGCAGAAGUCUUACUUCCUGCUUUUCUAUGACAUCAUCCUUCAGAAGGCGGGGCAUAGGCAAGAACAUGAUAAAGCACUUCUCCUUCCUGCCAUCAUGUGAAGAAGGAUGUGUUUGCUUCCCCUUCUGCCAGGAUUGUACGUUUCCUGAAGCCUCCCCAGCCUGCAGAACGGCAUUCACAUUCACUCACCACUUACUGACUCACCCGGAGCAACUUCCAGCCCUGCAAGCUUCAUUUAUGGAACAUGGAUGGAGCUGGAGGCUAUUAUUCUCAUCAAACUGUCCCAGGAAGAGAAAACCAAAUACCACAUGUUCUCACUUGUAAGUGGGAGUUAGAUGGUGAAAACUUACAAAGAAGAAAACAACAGACACCUGGGUUUACUUGAAGGUGGCGGGUGGGAGAAGGGAAAGUAACAGAAAAAAUAACUAUUGGGUACUGGGCUUAAUUCUUGGGUAAUGAGAUAUUCUGUACAACAAAUUUCCAUGACAUAAGUUUACCUGUGUAACAAGCUUUCACAUGUACUGCCGAACCUAAAAUAAAAGCUAAACAAAAGGAAAUGUGCUAAUAAUGUACUCCUUCAUCAUCCCAUUCCUAUGUAAAUAUUCAAUAAAGCAAAAUUUCUUCCCAACCUCAAAUAUAGGAGUUCAUUAUUAUCCGUUACCCAUAUACCAUAGGUUAGCAUGUGAUGAUAAUUGGUGAUAAUAAUAGAUGCUAUCUAUUAAGCUUUAUGUAGCAAACAUGUUGUUAAAUACUUGCAUUAUCUUAUUUAGCACUAAUAAUAUUCUCCAUUGAAAUAAUGUACAUGUUUUUAUUUCAAUUUUAGAAAUAAGAAAAGUUAGCAAUCUACCUAUUAAUCCAUUUUCACAGAAUUAUUCAGCUAGCAUACAUAAGACAUAAGUUAAUCUUAGUCACAAACUAUGUUUCAAAAUUGCCUUUCCUGAAAUAUGAUAAUGUUUUAUUUUAUUUGUGUAUUUUUGAAUUUGGGCAUUAUUUCUUUUGCUAGGUUUCUAUGACUAAUAAAACUGCUUCUUGAAAAUUUCAUUUGUUCAUUCAUUAUGAACAUAUUCACUUAGCAUCUAAUAUAUAUUAUACUUUGUGUGAAAAUAAAAUGGUAAGCAAAGAAAAUAAAUGGCCUGACUUUAUGCAGCUCA